AAAUGAAUAGACGGGGGCCCGCACAAGCGGUGGAGUAUGUGGUUUAAUUCGACGCAACGCGCAGAACCUUACCCAGACUUGACAUCUCGGGAACCUGGCCGAAAAGCUGGGGUGCUCGCAAGAGAACCCGAUGACAGGUGCUGCAUGGCUGUCGUCAGCUCGUGUCGUGAGAUGUUGGGUUAAGUCCCGCAACGAGCGCAACCCUUGUCCUUAGUUGCCAUCAUUAAGUUGGGCACUCUAGGGAGACUGCCGGUGUUAAACCGGAGGAAGGUGGGGAUGACGUCAAGUCCUCAUGGCCUUUAUGUUUGGGGCUACACACGUACUACAAUGGCCGCUACAAUCCGUUGCGAUACCGCAAGGUGGAGCUAAUCGGAAAAAAGCGGCCUCAGUUCAGAUUGCAGUCUGCAACUCGACUGCAUGAAGGUGGAAUCGCUAGUAAUCGCAGAUCAGCAGGCUGCGGUGAAUACGUUCCCGGGCCUUGUACACACCGCCCGU
rnacentral:rRNA from 1 species